UACAGAGGUGGCAAGCGUUGUUCGGAAUUACUGGGCGUAAAGGGCGAGUAGGUGGCCAUCUAAGUCAGACGUGAAAUCCCCCGGCUUAACCUGGGAACUGCGUCUGAUACUGGACGGCUUGAGUAUGGGAGAGGAACGUAGAAUUCCAGGUGUAGCGGUGAAAUGCGUAGAUAUCUGGAGGAACACCGGUGGCGAAGGCGGCAUCCUGGACCGGUAUUGACGCUGAGGCGCGAAAGCUAGGGGAGCAAACGGG
rnacentral:rRNA from 1 species